rnacentral:lncRNA from 1 species
UCAUCAUUAUUAUUAUUAAUUAUCAUUAUUUCUCCAUGUACAGAUGCAGAAACCAAGGUUAAGUUCAGAAGUACUGGGAUUUACUAAAAAGCCACCAGAGACUUGGAGAGAAGGCUUGGAUAGAAUAAUGGCUACCAUCUGUUGAGCCAUUACUAAGUGGUAGUCACAGAGGAACAUCCUAGUCCAUUCCAACUCUGCAAGGUGUUACCAGAAACAUCCAGAAGGCACCAUCCAGAACCCUCCAUACCUUCAGGGCACACCCCCAGGGUUUAGUUUUCUAAUCCAACUUGUGCAGCCCUGGGAAGCUUCUCGCAGACAAGUUCUGGUGAUACCAGCAGUGUUUGCUCUGCCAGGGACAGGACCUGCUGGGAGCAAGGCAGCAGUGGAGGCAGGGGCAGCCCCGGCCAGUGCCUGUAUUUCCCCAACUCUCAGUGGGAAAACCGUCCUACCA